rnacentral:rRNA from 1 species
UACGGAGGGUGCAAGCGUUGUCCGGAUUUAUUGGGUUUAAAGGGUGCGUAGGCGGCCGAUUAAGUCUGGGGUGAAAGCCCGUUGCUCAACAACGGAACUGCCCUGGAAACUGGUCGGCUUGAGUACAGACGAGGGUGGCGGAAUGGAUGCUGUAGCGGUGAAAUGCAUAGAUAGCAUCCAGAACCCCCGAUUGCGAAGCAGCUGCCUA